rnacentral:tRNA from 1 species
CACUAAAUGACUGAAAGUAAGUAAUGGAAUUUUAAACCAUAUUAUAGUAUAUUAACAAAUACUUUUAGUGA